rnacentral:rRNA from 1 species
UUGGAGGGCAAGUCUGGUGCCAGCAGCCGCGGUAAUUCCAGCUCCAAUAGCGUAUAAUAAAGUUGUUGCAGUUAAAAAGCUCGUAGUUGAAUUUCGGGAUCAAGGGAUCGGUCAUGCCUUGGUAUGUACUGGUUUUAUUGGUUCUCACCUUCUAAAGAACCAUGAUGUCAUUCAUUUGAUGUUAUGGGGAAUUAGGACUGUUACCUUGAAAAAAUUAGAGUGUUUAAAGCAAGCUUACGCUUGAAUACAUUAGCAUGGAAUAAUGAAAUAGGACAUCAGAUUCUAUUUUGUUGGUUUCUAGGAUCGAUGUAAUGAUUAAUAGGGAUAGUUGGGGGCAUUAGUAUUCAAUUGUCAGAGGUGAAAUUCUUGGAUUUAUUGAAGACUAACUACUGCGAAAGCAUUUACCAAGGAUGUUUUCAUUAAUCAAGAACGAAAGUUAGGGGAUCGAAGACGAUCAGAUACCGUCGUAGUCUUAACCAUAAACUAUGCCGACUAGGGAUCGGAUGAUGUUAAUUUUUUAAUGACUCAUUCGGCGCCUUACGGGAAAC